UACGAAGGGUGCAAGCGUUACUCGGAAUUACUGGGCGUAAAGCGUGCGUAGGUGGUGAGUUAAGUCUGAUGUGAAAUCCCCGGGCUCAACCUGGGAAUGGCAUUGGAUACUGGCUCGCUAGAGUGCGGUAGAGGGUGGUGGAAUUCCCGGUGUAGCAGUGAAAUGCGUAGAGAUCGGGAGGAACAUCUGUGGCGAAGGCGGCCAUCUGGACCAGCACUGACGCUGAGGCACGAAAGCGUGGGGAGCAAACAGG
rnacentral:rRNA from 1 species